AUAAACUGUGAUAUGCGAUGAAGGAAAUGAAACAUUACAUUUGUUUGCUUACAAACAAUUAGAUUGGCAGCUAUAGAUAUUGCAUUAACAGCUGAUGAAUACUUACUUCUACCAGAAUAUUUACACGGAAUAAACUGACUUAUUCGAAUUGACAUGGUCUGGUUAAUUGUAUCAUUUCGUUUUCCGUUCGACAUGGCAAGACGAAUGAUGUAUUUAAAGCAUUAUACUACUGAAAAGAGCUAUGAAACAUCCCGUUUCAAGAGAAAAUUCCACAGCUGAACAGUGCAUCAAUAUGACUUCAUGGAUGAACACCGUCAGAAUGUUGCAAACAAACACAUAGGCGAACGAUAAACAAGAGGAGCUUUGUUAGGUCAGUAGAUUGCUCAAACCAUUUACCCUCAAAAAGGCAAAGGGUCUCAGAGACCUGGUUAGCUGCAGUUCUCUAGUUGCAAUGAACUUGUUAUUUGAAGUGCAAAUGAUCGAGCGUUUUCGGGCUUUCGAUUCUCUCAAUGAUAAAAUUGCAAAAAAGAGGCUUUUGGUUUCAUUGGGUCUUAGGAGCGAUGCUUUUUGAAGUCAUCAUUUUAGCUUACCUUUCUGAGGAUAAAUGGAACAGCCUGCAGAGCAAUCUUAAGAAUGACCACAUCUGAAUCCUGUGUUCAAUUCCGCCAAAAACUUGGGAUGGAUUUCUGAUCAGAAUGUAUAUAAAUAUUAAAAUCCAACAGCUACUUGCUAAGCUAUAA